UUCUCUUCUCAGCCUUUUGGCUAAGAUCAAGUGCAGCAUCUGUUCUUAUCAGUUUAAUAUCUGGUACAUCCUCAAUGAGAAGACUUUAUAUUAAAUGGAUUUUUGAGUCUCAGCCAAU
rnacentral:snRNA from 1 species